rnacentral:misc_RNA from 1 species
UGGACCAUCAAUUGUGCAUAGGAAAUGCUUCUAAAUGUUUCAAGAGUAGGAUUGUUGAAGAAAGUAAAAAAAAUGUACUGUUUUUUUUCUUGGAAAGAAGUGGGUAGUUGGCCGCCCUUUCCAUUCUAGCUUUGUUGUCCUGCCAUGUUUAUUGUGGUGUUGCAGUGAUGACUUUGAGAAGGCGAGGAGAUGAUUGCCAAAAUGGUCCAUUUCUUUCAUUGUUAUUGUUCACAAGCUUUUGACUCCUAAGAUGCAUUUUGCACCCCUAACGUUUUUUUCCAAUGGUUUUAAGGGGUUCUAGCAUAUUA